AUUGAACGCUGGCGGCAUGCCUUACACAUGCAAGUCGAACGGCAGCACGGGUGCUUGCACCUGGUGGCGAGUGGCGAACGGGUGAGUAAUAUAUCGGAACGUACCUUAUUGUGGGGGAUAACGCAGCGAAGGCUGUGCUAAUACCGCAUAAUCCCUAAGGGGGAAAGCGGGGGACCGUAAGGCCUCGCGCAAUUAGAGCGGCCGAUACCUGAUUAGCUAGUUGGUGAGGUAAAGGCUCACCAAGGCAACGAUCAGUAGCUGGUCUGAGAGGACGAUCAGCCACGCUGGGACUGAGACACGGCCCAGACUCCUACGGGAGGCAGCAGUGGGGAAUUUUGGACAAUGGGGGCAACCCUGAUCCAGCAAUGCCGCGUGAGUGAAGAAGGCCUUCGGGUUGUAAAGCUCUUUUGUCAGGGAAGAAACAGCAGCUCUAACACAGUUUGCGAAUGACGGUACCUGAAGAAUAAGCACCGGCUAACUACGUGCCAGCCGCCGCGGUAA
rnacentral:rRNA from 1 species